GAUGAAGAUAGAAAGUUGAAGAUUCAAGAUAUUUUCCUGAGUUGACCCUAUGAUCAAGUUAGUUAAUUAAGACUGGAGCUUAGCUGACUCAAGAAAAAAGAUAGCCAACUCAGCCUCAAAGAUAGAAGAACAUAGAAAGUAAUAUAAAUCAAUAAAUUUUCUGAGCUAACUCAGAAAAUCAAUUAGCUGACUAAGUAAUCAAGUUAGCUGAUCAAGAA
rnacentral:lncRNA from 1 species